GGGAGAAGGCAGCUAUCUACAACUCAAGACCUCAUCAGACACUAACUCUUCUGGCACUGUUAUCUUAGACUUCUGACUUUCAGAAGUGUGAAAAGAUAAAUUUCUGUCGUUUAGGUUACCAAGUUUGUGGCAUUUUGUGAUGGCAGCCUGAGGAGACUAUUAGGUAGACAUUUUGAUGAGCCAUUGAACAAGAUGCCUUUUCUUCUUA
rnacentral:lncRNA from 1 species